GGGGAGUAUUCCAUCAACAUACAUUAGUGGUUGCGUUCUAACAUUCUGAACCAGUGAGUGACCAAACAUUGUAAAUCAGCAGUGAGUGUUCCAACAUUCUGAAUCAGCUAUCAGCCAAUAUUUUAAAUCAGCAUUGAGUCUUCCAACAGUCUAAAUUAGUAGCGAAUAUUCUAAAAUUCUUAAUCAAGCAGUGAGCUUUCUAACUUUCUAAAUGAGCAGAGAGCUAACAAAUCAGUAGUGAGCAUCCUUCACUAACACACAGUGAGAAAACGGACAGCCAAUAAUGUAUCCUCACUCAGGACUCCUACC